rnacentral:misc_RNA from 1 species
GAAAAAAAUAACUAAUUACACAGAUUGCGUGUAAAUUAUGAGACGAAUCUUUUGAGCCUAAUUGCGUCAUGAUUUGACAAUGUAGUGCUAUAGUAAACAUUUACUAAUGACAGAUUAAUUAGGCUAAAUAAAUUCAUCUCGCGGUUUACAUAUGGAUUCUGUAAUUUGUUUUGUUAUUAG